UAAUCUCAUUUGGUAACUGUGAGUCUUCUUGACAUCGCGAACUGUCAAGCUGACGGUGACAGUUCAGCCACUUGUUAGUUUUGACAGUCGGUCGCGUUCAACUCAGAUUACCAUAUGGGGUUUGA
rnacentral:pre_miRNA from 1 species